CCCCCCACCCCCGCGCGUCUUCACUCCCCUCCCCCGCAGGGAGCUGGGGCCUCCCUCUUCCCCUCCCCAUGUCCGUAGGGACCCAGAGGUGGACAGGAUCAGGGAGUCGCCUGCUGUCGCCGGCCGGGGAUCUCGGGGUCUCCCGAACCAGGCUGGGGAGCCUCACGAUCUGAGGGAGGAGGCAGAGGAGCCUUCCUGGGGCAUCCCACACUGCCCCUCAGCUCCAGCGCCGUCAGGACUCUGCUCAGCACCGUUUCACCAGUGCCUCCCCCACCAGCAGGGAGUUCCACUGGAGCAGCUGAUUCAUCUGGGAGUCCCUAGUGUCCCAAACUGGGCCUGGCACGAAGUCGGCAUCUCUAAGUGCUGUUAUUUAAAACAGAAAUCUGGUUCCACGACAAAGUGAACAUACCUAACACCACCUAAUCUUACCCUUAAAAAUGGUGAAGAUGGUACCUUUCGA